CAGUCGAACGAUGAAGCCCAGCUUGCUGGGUGGAUUAGUGGCGAACGGGUGAGUAACACGUGAGUAACCUGCCCUUGACUCUGGGAUAAGCCCGGGAAACUGGGUCUAAUACUGGAUAUUCAGCUUCCAUCGCAUGGUGGUGGUUGGAAAGGGAUUGACUGGUCAAGGAUGGACUCGCGGCCUAUCAGCUUGUUGGUGGGGUAAUGGCCUACCAAGGCGACGACGGGUAGCCGGCCUGAGAGGGUGACCGGCCACACUGGGACUGAGACACGGCCCAGACUCCUACGGGAGGCAGCAGUGGGGAAUAUUGCACAAUGGGCGGAAGCCUGAUGCAGCGACGCCGCGUGAGGGAUGACGGCCUUCGGGUUGUAAACCUCUUUCAGUAGGGAAGAAGCGAGAGUGACGGUACCUGCAGAAGAAGCGCCGGCUAACUACGUGCCAGCAGCCGCGGUAAUACGUAGGGCGCAAGCGUUAUCCGGAAUUAUUGGGCGUAAAGAGCUCGUAGGCGGUUUGUCGCGUCUGCCGUGAAAGUCCGGGGCUCAACCCCGGAUCUGCGGUGGGUACGGGCAGACUAGAGUGCUGUAGGGGAGACUGGAAUUCCUGGUGUAGCGGUGAAAUGCGCAGAUAUCAGGAGGAACACCGAUGGCGAAGGCAGGUCUCUGGGCAGUAACUGACGCUGAGGAGCGAAAGCAUGGGGAGCGAACAGGAUUAGAUACCCUGGUAGUCCAUGCCGUAAACGUUGGGCACUAGAUGUGGGGGACAUUCCACGUUCUCCGCGUCGUAGCUAACGCAUUAAGUGCCCCGCCUGGGGAGUACGGCCGCAAGGCUAAAACUCAAAGGAAUUGACGGGGGCCCGCACAAGCGGCGGAGCAUGCGGAUUAAUUCGAUGCAACGCGAAGAAACUUACCAAGGCUUGACAUGGACCGGACC
rnacentral:rRNA from 1 species